GACGAACGCUGGCGGCGUGCCUAAUACAUGCAAGUCGAGCGCAGGAAACCGUCUGAACCCUUCGGGGGGACGACGGCGGAAUGAGCGGCGGACGGGUGAGUUACACGUAAAGAACCUGCCCACGGGUCUGGGAUAACCACGAGAAAUCGGGGCUAAUACCGGACGGGUCAUCGGACCGCAUGGUCCGAGGAUGAAAGGCGCUCCGGCGUCGCCCGUGGAUGGCUUUGCGGUGCAUUAGCUAGUUGGUGGGGUAACGGCCCACCAAGGCGACGAUGCAUAGCCGACCUGAGAGGGUGAUCGGCCACACUGGGACUGAGACACGGCCCAAACUCCUACGGGAGGCAGCAGUAGGGAAUCUUCCACAAUGGACGAAAGUCUGAUGGAGCAACGCCGCGUGAACGAUGAAGGCCCUCGGGUCGUAAAGUUCUGUUGUAAGGGAAGAACAAGUGCCGCAGGCAAUGGCGGCACCUUGACGGUACCUUGCGAGAAAGCCACGGCUAACUACGUGCCAGCCGCCGCUGUAAUAC
rnacentral:rRNA from 1 species